rnacentral:rRNA from 1 species
UACGGAGGAUCCAAGCGUUAUCCGGAUUUAUUGGGUUUAAAGGGUGCGUAGACGGAAUAGUAAGUCAGUGGUGAAAUCCUGCAGCUUAACUGUAGAAUUGCCAUUGAUACUGCUAAUCUUGAGUAUAAUUGAAGUGGGCGGAAUGUGUCAUGUAGCGGUGAAAUGCUUAGAUAUGACACAGAACACCGAUUGCGAAGGCAGCUCACUAAACUAUAACUGACGCUGAGGCACGAAAGCGUGGGGAUCAAACAGG